AGCGGGAUAGAGCAGGGGUAGCUUGUCAGCCUCAUAAGCUGGAAGUCGAAGGUUCAAAUCCUUCUCCCGCAACCA
rnacentral:tRNA from 1 species